UAGCACGCUUCGGCCCCCACAGCGACACCUAGCUCUCUUUCCCCUCGACCCCCACAGCGCAGCACAUCACCACUCCCUCCUCCCUCAUCAGCCGCCGCCGGAUCUUCUCGCUGGGGUGGAAGAGUAGGGGAUCCGGCCGGAUCCGAGGCGUGCGGGCCUGGUGGCGGGCAUCUUUGGCAGCGGCAGCGGCGGGCCUGGUGGCGGGCAUCUUUGGCAGCGGUGGUGGCGGGCCUGGUGGCGGUCAUCUUUGGCAGCGGCAUCGACGGGCAUCUCUGGCAAAAGGCGAUGGCGGGGAUGCUCGAUUCACCAUGGACCGGUCCCUGCAGGAGAGAGAAAGAAAGAGAGGAGGGAGAAAGCGAGAGGAAAGAGGAGAGGGAGGUGCGACGGCGGGCGGGAGAGGGUCUCUGGCCGGGGCGAGACAUUCACGUCUCUCCUCCUCUCCUGCUCUCGACCACCACCGUGGCCCUCCUUCUCCCCUUCAAUUCCCUGUCUCCUCUUCUCUGGAGUUACCUGAGUGGUCAACACCGAGAAAGAUGGGGAAGACAGAGCCAACGAGGAAGACAGCUUGACUCUGCCGCCAAUGCUAACCGGCCUAUUCCGUCGGGCGCCGUCAUGGGAGGAGACGAACCAUCGAGGAGCAGCACGGGAGGAGAUAAAGAUAAGCCGCCGGACUCCCUGUUCACUUCUGGUUGCAUCUUGCCCGUGAGCUCCUUCUUCUUACAGCCCGCUUGGCCCUUUUCUUGCCAUGUUUUGGGUGAUGCAGCGUAUCAAGCAGGGCGAUGGCGAGGAUCAGAUGCGGUAGCAGCUGAAGGAGUCAUGGAGAGGGGGCGAGAGUGAGCAGCGACUGUCGGCCAGGAAGGAAGAGGCUGGGGCGAGGACCGGAGGAGGAGGUGCUCAUGGUGGAGCAUAGGAGGACGGAGGCGGAGUGCUGCUGGAACGGCUGUGGGACUAGGCGAAAGGUGCAGAGGGCCACAAUGAGGCAGACGACAGUGGAUGGAAACAAUAGGUGUUGGCGGAUGCUCCGAGACCAUGAAGAGCCUAUUCAAUGGUAUGAGAAGGAUGACAUGGAGACGGAGGAUUCCGACAUGGUACCUCCCGCAAUCGCGCAGUUGGAGAGCAUGCAUGAGUUUGGUAUACUAUGUAUUCUAUUAAUAUUGCUCUGAAAGGUUAGGAUGCAUUGGGUUGCGGCCUGAACUAUGUAUCUAUGGAUAUUAUUACACUUUCAGCAUGCUAUUUCUUAUUUUUAAGACUUCAAUUUUUGUGAAUUGUGACUGAACUAUGAUACUUUAGAUUGCAUGCUCAACUAUGUGUAGGGUCAUUACCGCUUUCUCCCCGGAUUGUAUUGUCCUUGCCAUGUUAUCCCCUAAAUGCUAACUCUUGCCAUGUUAUUCCCUAAAUCAUUACUCAUUUCUUCCUUGCUCUGCUUAUGCAUCAUGUAUUUAGUACCAAAAAAUGAGGUAUGCUUCCUUACAUUAAACAGUCUUUCCUUAUCAGUAUAUAUGGAAGUAUAUGGGACGUCUUCCAUAGAAUACUUGUUUCUGUACUAUAUACUCGAUGAAAAUAAUAUCCUUGCAUGCGAACAUGGCAUGGCUGAUUAGUAGUUGCACUACAUUCCUGAAGCUUCUUUGAACUAUUGGGAGACAUGAGAAAUUUGUUGCACAGAAGUAAGUGGUUCUUGUUUCCAUUUCCAACAAAACCAAGGCUAAAAGUUGCUACUUUUGUAGUACUCCUGUAUACAACAAUUAGUGUUCAGCUAGACUGUCAAUCUUACAGUUUAUUACUAACCGCUGCCUCUGUACGCUUAUGUCCGGCGCUGGUGGAAAAGCACCUGGGGCUGGGAGGAAAGCAAAGUUGUAGCUAUCAUGCAUUAUGCAUGUAGGCAAUUAGAAUUUACGAAAACAAAUAGAAAUUGUGAUUCUAAUCGGAUUCAUUGUAUUACAUGAUCUUUUGCAUAUCAGACUCUCUUUGCUGACAUCUGGUGAAGUUGUGGUCCAGGAGAAGCAUGAAGAUUUUAUAGCUCUAGCUUUUCCCUUCCGAUAGUUAUGCUCCACCUUGAGCACGCCGGCGGCGAAGCACACUGCGAGGCCCGGAGCAACUCAGUCAAAGCACCUCCGUACAGGAGGAACCCCGCGGCCAGCGCAGCCAACAACGGUGAUGGUACAAGAGCUCGGCCUUGAUGGGCCACGCGCUGAGGGUCACGUCCGCGCUGGAGGGCAGCAACGAGCACAUGGCGCGGUACGAGGAGAUGCGCUGGGAGAAGGUUCAUGGCUCCGCCUAGCACCAUGUGUGCGGCGGCGUGGACAGACGACCACGGGCAGAUUUUGGGGAGCGGCACGAGCAUCAAGCAAUGGCUGAUGCCAAGGCAUGUCAAGAUCAAGGAUAUUUAAACUUGUUUCUUCUAUUGAUGAAAGAUUUCAAGAUGAAUUUCUGGGCAAAGAUACUUGAUGUUAAUUGUCCCAAAGAUGGAACGAUUUGCUCCACGGAAAUUAUCUCCUUAGUUGCAUUCCAUUUACAGACCCAACAUCCUCCAGUAUUACCUGAUUUGGUGCUGAUUUACAUCUUCCUGUUCAUGCUCAAUUGCUCAUGGCCUUGCUAUGGUUGCACCAUGGUCCGUGGGGAACAGGAACAAAUACCUUUGCUACAACCGAGGUCUUGACAGACAAAUUAGGGAGAGAUAGGUUCGGGGUUGUUAUGCUCUAUCCCUCAAGGUACCAUCUGCAUUUUGUGAAGAUUGCCAUCAUCUAGAUUUUAUUGCGACAUGAUGCUUUUUUUACAAGGAAUUUGGUGUUUCAGAAGCAUCACUGGAAGUUGGGAGAAGUAGAAGUUGAGGGGAAGCUACUGCAUGUUGGAAAAUCAGUUGGUGUUGUCUAUGUUGGUUUCAGGAAGAAAAGUACUAUCAAAUUGAUGGCUCGGGCACGUCAUACAAAGUACCUUGCUGUAUCUAGCAGAUUGCGAGGAUUCCCUUCUGUUGUAAGAUAAAAACCUGGUUAUAUGUUGCAUCUCAAAAUCAAGAUGUUGAUUCGAGAAGAGCCCUAACAGAUAAAUGGAAGCAUCUAUUGCCCCCUCGAACACUUGACAUAGGCACAUUCAAAAUAGAUUAUCUCUUAUGACUCAUGAUCAGUCAGCUCUUGGAAAGCUGAGGCACCAUUUCUAAAUUGUUUAGCAUCCACGAAUUUGGCGAUCGUGAUAUUUCUUGCCUAGGUGACCUGCUCCCAGUCAUUCUUCCCUCCCCUAUGAUCUCUCUCUAUGAAGUUUCAAAUUUGUUUUGGUCAAAUUUGAUAUGAAUCUUUGGUAAAACAAUCAACAGAAAUCUGACAAUAUUGCUGACAAGAACGAACAAAUUUCAUUUGCCUGCUGCUCGAUUUUGGUGUUCCUCUGGAUAGCCUGCUUUCCUGGCUUGUUUCCGCUUCUUAGCUCUGGUUGGACGAUUUGCUGUGUUCCUGCAUUUCUUUGCUGCUGCUCAAGAUGUGAUUGUAAAUGGCAUUAAGAAUUAAUAGAUCCGACUCGAGGAGGGCAUGGUUGAUGUAUGCAACCAUGGGAGUGUCAGCUUAGUCUGGUCGCCAUCACCAGAGUGAUGUGAAACAAGGUGUUCAGGGAACUCUUUUGAAAGACAUGUGUUUACAGAACACAUGUUUCAUCGUCUUUAUUUUUUUCACCAGUUAUUGAACAGAUCUUAUGAAGCUUGAUUGAUAGUGUUUCAACUCAGAUGAAGUGGUCUGGACGAUCAGGUUUUGCAGAUCCUGGAGAUCGUUAUACCUUUUGUACAAUGCACUGUUCUGGAUUCAAAUUGACUGAGAGUGUUGCAUCCCUUUGUAUUGUGUUGCUGAACCUCACUAAGUUUCUCAAUGUCCAAGUCUUUUUGUUCUUAGAAAAACUCUUUUGUUGCAUCCACAUUAACCAUAUGUAUUUACA